rnacentral:rRNA from 1 species
GAUGAACGCUAGCGGGAGGCCUAAUACAUGCAAGUCGAGCGGUAGAGUGACUUCGGUUGCUUGAGAGCGGCGAACGGGUGAGUAACGCGUACACAAUCUACCUUUAAGAGGGGAAUAGCCCUGGGAAACUGGGAUUAAUGCCCCAUGGCAUCACGAAGUGGCAUCGCUUUGUGAUUAAAGCUGAGGUGCUUAGAGAUGAGUGUGCGUCUGAUUAGCUAGUUGGUGCGGUAACGGCGCACCAAGGCGACGAUCAGUAGGGGGCGUGAGAGCGUGGACCCCCACACGGGUACUGAGACACGGACCCGACUCCUACGGGAGGCAGCAGUAAGGAAUAUUGGUCAAUGGAGGAAACUCUGAACCAGCCAUCCCGCGUGCAGGAAGAAUGCCCUAUGGGUUGUAAACUGCUUUUAUCUGGGAAGAAAAGUCGGCAUUUAUGCUGAUCUGACGGUACCAGAGGAAUAAGCACCGGCUAAC